UGACGUGGACGCUUGCCUCAAGGAUUAAGCCAUGCAAGCUAGCGAAGGUAACGGAGCGGCGAACGGCUCAGUAGGACAGGGCUAUCUGACCACGGCAGAGGAUAACCACGGUAAGCUGUGGCUAAUACGAGCGUGGGUGAGGCCCUGGCCUAUCAUGCUAGGCGGUACGGUAAGGGCGUACCGUGGCGACGACGGGUAGCGGGGAAUCGGGGUUUGAUUCCGGAGAGGGAGCCUGAGAGAUGGCUGCCACGUCCAAGGACGGCAGCAGGCGCGGAACUUACCCACUUGGAGGACCAGAGGUAGUGACGAGGCGUGAUCGAUGAGGACAGGGUAAAGCACUGUCCGAAGGCGACUGGAGGGCAAGUCUGGUGCCAGCAGCCGCGGUAAUUCCAGCUCCAGGAGCGUCUGUGUGUGUUGCUGCGGUUAAAGCGUGCGCAGUCGGGCUGUUAGCCAACAGGAAAGGUGCGGUCUCAUGCCGUGCAGUUUGUUGGAACGUAGGCCUAGGGACCGGAGCGGGGCAAUGGUAUUUGGCAGCGAGGGGUGAAAACCGAUGACCUGCUGAGGAGCGACAGAGGCGCAGGCGGUUGUCCGGGACGGGUCCGACGAUCAAGCGCGUGAGCGGGAGGAUCGAAGGCGAU
rnacentral:rRNA from 1 species